rnacentral:rRNA from 1 species
CUAACUACGUGCCAGCAGCCGCGGUAAUACGUAGGUGGCAAGCGUUAUCCGGAAUUAUUGGGCGUAAAGCGCGCGCAGGCGGUUUCUUAAGUCUGAUGUGAAAGCCCACGGCUCAACCGUGGAGGGUCAUUGGAAACUGGGGAACUUGAGUGCAGAAGAGAAAAGCGGAAUUCCACGUGUAGCGGUGAAAUGCGUAGAGAUGUGGAGGAACACCAGUGGCGAAGGCGGCUUUUUGGUCUGUAACUGACGCUGAGGCGCGAAAGCGUGGGGAGCAAACAGGAUUAGAUACCCUGGUAGUCCACGCCGUAAACGAUGAGUGCUAAGUGUUAGAGGGUUUCCGCCCUUUAGUGCUGCAGCUAACGC